GGAAAGGUAUUCGUCAAGGUAUAGGGACAUCUACUGGAGGUAAAAGAGUGAAAUAGUCUGUUGAAAUUGGUUCCUACUUCAUGCCUAAAACAACUCUUGGUGCUCAGCCAACUAUUAAAAGUGUGUUACAAAGCAAGGAGGCUAUAGAAAGGUGUGAUAUGGCUAUCUCAAGACGGAUGAUUGAUGCAUGCAUACCUUUCAAUUCUAUUAAUUCAAAAUAUUAUUAGCUUAUGACUGAUGCUAUAGCUAGUAUGGGUGCU
rnacentral:misc_RNA from 1 species